UACGUAGGGUCCGAGCGUUGUCCGGAAUUAUUGGGCGUAAAGGGCUCGUAGGCGGUCUGUCGCGUCGGGGAGUGAAAACUUACAGCUUAACUGUGAGCGUGCUUCCGAUACGGGCAGACUUGAGGUAUUCGAGGGGAGAACGGAAUCCUGGUGUAGCGGUGAAAUGCGCAGAUAUCGGGAGGAACACCGGUGGCGAAGGCGGUUCUCUGGGCCUUACCUGACGCUGAGGAGCGAAGCGUGG
rnacentral:rRNA from 1 species